rnacentral:rRNA from 1 species
CCUACGGGAGGCAGCAGUGGGGAAUAUUGGACAAUGGGCGAAAGCCUGAUCCAGCAAUGCCGCGUGAGUGAUGAAGGCCUUAGGGUUGUAAAGCUCUUUUACCAGGGAUGAUAAUGACAGUACCUGGAGAAUAAGCUCCGGCUAACUCCGUGCCAGCAGCCGCGGUAAUACGGAGGGAGCUAGCGUUGUUCGGAAUUACUGGGCGUAAAGCGUACGUAGGCGGUUAUUCAAGUCAGAGGUGAAAGCCCGGGGCUCAACCCCGGAACUGCCUUUGAAACUAGAUAGCUAGAAUCUUGGAGAGGUUAGUGGAAUUCCGAGUGUAGAGGUGAAAUUCGUAGAUAUUCGGAAGAACACCAGUGGCGAAGGCGACUAACUGGACAAGUAUUGACGCUGAGGUACGAAAGCGUGGGGAGCAAACAGGAUUAGAUACCCUGGUAGUCCACGCCGUAAACGAUGAUAACUAGUUGUUCGGGCACUUGGUGCCUGAGUGACGCAGCUAACGCAUAAGUUAUCCGCCUGGGGAUACGGUCGCAAGNUUAAAACUCAAAUGAAUUGACGG